rnacentral:rRNA from 1 species
UACGUAGGGUGCAAGCGUUAAUCGGAAUUACUGGGCGUAAAGCGUGCGCAGGCGGUUUUGUAAGUCUGUCGUGAAAUCCCCGGGCUCAACCUGGGAAUUGCGAUGGAGACUGCAAGGCUAGAAUCUGGCAGAGGGGGUGAGAAUUCCACGUGUGAGCGUGAAAUGCGUAGAGAUGUGGAGGAACACCGAUGGCGAAGGCAGCCCCUGGGUCAAGAUUGACGCUCAUGCACGAAAGGCGUGGGGAGCAAACGA